rnacentral:rRNA from 1 species
CUAUCGGGGUUCGAUUAAGCCAUGCGAGUCGAGAGGGUUCGGCCCUCGGCGUACUGCUCAGUAACACGUGGAUAACCUGCCCUAAGGAAGGGGAUAACCCCGGGAAACUGGGAAUAAUACCCUAUAGGUUACAGAUGCUGGAAUGCUCUGUAACUCAAAGUUCAGGCGCCUUAGGAUGGAUCUGCGGCCGAUUAGGUUGUUGUUGGGGUAACGGCCCAACAAGCCAGUAAUCGGUACGGGUUGUGGGAGCAAGAGCCCGGAGUUGGAUUCUGAGACACGAAUCCAGGCCCUACGGGGCGCAGCAGGCGCGAAAACUUUACAAUGCGGGCAACCGUGAUAAGGGAACCUCGAGUGCCUGUAUAUGCAGGCUGUCCAGGUGUCUAAAACACACCUGAAGAAAGGGCCGGGCAAGACCGGUGCCAGCCGCCGCGGUAAUACCGGCGGCUCGAGUGGUGGCCACUUUUAUUGGGCUUAAAGCGUUCGUAGCUGGGUUGUUAAGUCUCUUGGGAAAUCCGGCGGCUCAACCGUCGGGCGUCUAAGAGAUACUGGCAGUCUUGGAACCGGGAGAGGUGAGGGGUACUUCGGGGGUAGGAGUGAAAUCCUGUAAUCCUCGAGGGACCACCUGUGGCGAAGGCGCCUCACCAGAACGGCUUCGACAGUGAGGGACGAAAGCUGGGGGAGCAAACCGGAUUAGAUACCCGGGUAGUCCCAGCCGUAAACGAUGUGCGUUAGGUGUAUCGACGACCACGAGUCGUCGAGGUGCCGAAGGGAAACCGUGAAACGUACCGCCUGGGAAGUACGGUCGCAAGGCUGAAACUUAAAGGAAUUGGCGGGGGAGCACCACAACAGGUGGAGCCUGCGGUUUAAUUGGACUCAACGCCGGGAAUCUCACCGGAUAAGACAGCGGAAUGAUUGCCGGGCUGAAGACUCUGCAUGACUAGCUGAGAGGAGGUGCAUGGCCGUCGUCAGUUCGUACUGUGAAGCAUCCUGUUAAGUCAGG